rnacentral:rRNA from 2 species
GGGCGCAGCCUGAUGGAGCACACCGCGUGAGUGAAGAAGGGUUUCGGCUCGUAAAGCUCUGUUGUUGGAGAAGAACGUGCGUGAGAGUAACUGUUCACGCAGUGACGGUAUCCAACCAGAAAGUCACGGCUAACUACGUGCCAGCAGCCGCGGUAAUACGUAGGUGGCAAGCGUUAUCCGGAUUUAUUGGGCGUAAAGCGAGCGCAGGCGGUUGCUUAGGUCUGAUGUGAAAACCCUCCGGUUUAACCGAAAAAGGGCAUCUAAAACCGGCGACUUGAUUGCAAAAUAGGAGAGUGGAAUCCCUGUGUAGCGGUGGAAUGGGUAAAUAUAUGGAAAAACACCAAUGGCUAAGGCGGUUGUCUGGGCUGCAACUGACUCUGAGCCUGAAAGCUUGGGUUGCGAACAGGAUUUGAUUCCCUGGUUAUCCAUGCCUAAAACCAUGAUCGCUAGGGGUUGGAGGGUUUCCGCCAUUAUUGGCCGAGCUA